rnacentral:rRNA from 1 species
UCCGUAGGUGAACCUGCGGAGGGAUCAUUACACAAAUAUGAAGGCGGGCUGGAACCUCUCGGGGUUACAGCCUUGCUGAAUUAUUCACCCUUGUCUUUUGCGUACUUCUUGUUUCCUUGGUGGGUUCGCCCACCACUAGGACAAACAUAAACCUUUUGUAAUUGCAAUCAGCGUCAGUAACAAAUUAAUAAUUACAACUUUCAACAACGGAUCUCUUGGUUCUGGCAUCGAUGAAGAACGCAGCGAAAUGCGAUAAGUAGUGUGAAUUGCAGAAUUCAGUGAAUCAUCGAAUCUUUGAACGCACAUUGCGCCCUUUGGUAUUCCAAAGGGCAUGCCUGUUCGAGCGUCAUUUGUACCCUCAAGCUUUGCUUGGUGUUGGGCGUCUUGUCUCUAGCUUUGCUGGAGACUCGCCUUAAAGUAAUUGGCAGCCGACCUACUGGUUUCGGAGCGCAGCACAAGUCGCACUCUCUAUCAGCAAAGGUCUAGCAUCCAUUAAGCCUUUUUUUCAACUUUUGACCUCGGAUCAGGUAGGGAUACCCGCUGAACUUAAGCAUAUCAAUAAGCGGAGGA